CACACCCAAAGAAGGAGAGUGUCAUGACAGAUCAUAGGAGAGCUUGAAUGCCGUGUCUGUGUGUCUCGUGCUGUGGAGCAGAGGAUCAAAAAGGGCUUGGCCUGGCGUUGGACUGAGAAUGCAAUAAAGACAGAGGAUGGGGGAGUGAUGGACAGAUGGAGAGUACAGGAAGAGUAUAAGAAUAGAUCGAUCAAAUAAAAGAAUGUAAAAAGAACAGAAGGCAGUAAAACAUACUGAGAGGAGGAGCUGGUAUAGGAGAGAGAGAGAGAGAAAGAGAGAGAGAUAAAAAGGUAUUUGCCUGGCUGCCAAAGAAAGAAACCAAAGAUUCUCUAACUACAGAAGAGAAGAAAGAAGAGAGGAGAACAGAAGCCCUGGACUUCUCCUUGCUGUCCUGAUCUGUGGGUGUGUGAUCUCUGCACCAUGCUGGUUCCCAUCAACUUCAUUCUGCUCUUGGCGCUGUCAUGGCACCCUACGGUUGUCACGGGAGGUAGAGCACAGCGGAGACAAAGGCAAGCUGAGGAGUCGUUAAAGCCCUACCAUGGAAGAGUGGAUCCAGAGAAGUUGUGUGAGCUGCUGAAAUGUCACAGUCCAGCAGGAUCCUGGUGUCAGGUGGUGGAAGAGGCAGGGAUUCUCAUCCCAAAGUGUGUGUGUCCUCAGACUUGUCCACGCCAGGGGGUGCCAGUGUGCAGUGUUUUGGGGAAGACGUACGGAAAUGAGUGUCUACUGCAUAAAGAAUCCUGUCGCAAGAGACGUCGCAUUGGUCUCGCUCACCCUGGGACUUGUAUGGUGCCCAAGGCUCAGUGUAAAGAGGAGGAGUUUGGUCAGUUUCCCUACCGGCUGCUGGACUGGUUCUUGCUCUUGAGCCGUAUGGGGGAGAGUUAUGAUCCCAAUGCCCCCUCUCAGAGCUGCCUGAGCCGAACAGCACGCAUCCAGCUCGCCCAGGAUGGGAAAUUGAGCCGGCGGGAUCUGAAGAAGCUGCAUUAUAAAAGGAUGCCUCUGGAGCAUUGUGCCAAGAGAUUCUUCCAAUCGUGUGACAAGAACAGGAACAAGAAGGUGACCCUGAAGGAGUGGACCUCGUGCCUGGUGAAGGGGUCUGAGCGCUGGUUCCAGCAUUACAUGUCUAUGAAGAUGGGUUCUCGCAAGUUAUGUCCUACAACUGAAAGCAAUCUUUAGUUCAGCUGCAGACAAAAUAAAAACACUCUUAUGGAGGGUUAAAUCAACUCAACUAAGGUCAGUGGUGGUGUGUGAUCCCUGGUGUGUGAACAACCUCUCCAAGCGACAGGGAAUCUGUGCAUCACUCCCCCCUGGUGGUCAAGCUGUUGUAAAACAAACUAAGACAGGCUAAUUAUAUCAUUUGUUUUGCUAAAGUACACCAUACAUUAAUCUGUAUAACAAAAUGGUGUGCAAUAAAAGUCUCUUGUCCACA
ensembl:lncRNA